GGACCGGCUCGGCUGAAAUAAACGAGCGGACCCGUACUUUUGAAAUACAGCGACGGCUUGACUCGGCGUAAUAACUCUUAUCUCGCUGAGGACGUUUAGCACCUUUUCAAUUGUAUUUGUGGCUGCUACUAGCGCGAAUAGUAAAACAUUCACCUUAAGCUUUAGACCUCAAAUCAGGCAGGACUACCCGCUGAACUUAA
rnacentral:misc_RNA from 1 species